CGACCGGCGCACGGGUGAGUAACGCGUAUCCAACCUGCCACCACUUGGGAGUAACCUUGCGAAAGUAAGACUAAUACCCAAUGAUAUCUCUAGAAGACAUCUGAAAGAGAUUAAAGAUUUAUCGGUGAUGGAUGGGGAUGCGUCUGAUUAGCUUGUUGGCGGGGUAACGGCCCACCAAGGCAACGAUCAGUAGGGGUUCUGAGAGGAAGGUCCCCCACAUUGGAACUGAGACACGGUCCAA
rnacentral:rRNA from 1 species